GUGCCUAACACAUGCAAGUCGAACGCGAAAGUCCCGCAAGGGAUCAGUAGAGUGGCAAACGGGUGAGUAACGCGUGGGUGACCUGCCUUCGAGUGGGGGAUAACGUUCCGAAAGGGACGCUAAUACCGCAUGACAUCCGGUUUUUGAAGAAGCCGAAAUCAAAGCUGCGGAUCGCAAGACGUAGCACUCGAAGAGGGGCCCGCGUCCGAUUAGCUAGUUGGUGAGGUAACGGCUCACCAAGGCGACGAUCGGUAGCCGGCCUGAGAGGGCGGACGGCCACACUGGGACUGAGACACGGCCCAG
rnacentral:rRNA from 1 species